UCAAUAAUGUAAAAAUAAAUGUCUGAACAUAUGAAUACAAUAUUGAUUUCAACAUUUGAGA
rnacentral:snoRNA from 1 species